rnacentral:rRNA from 1 species
GACGAACGCUGGCGGCGUGCUUAACACAUGCAAGUCGAACGCUGAAGCUUGGUGCUUGCACUGGGUGGAUGAGUGGCGAACGGGUGAGUAAUACGUGAGUAACCUGCCCUUGACUCUGGGAUAAGCCUGGGAAACUGGGUCUAAUACUGGAUACGACAUGUCACCGCAUGGUGGUGUGUGGAAAGGGUUUUACUGGUUUUGGAUGGGCUCACGGCCUAUCAGCUUGUUGGUGGGGUAAUGGCUCACCAAGGCGACGACGGGUAGCCGGCCUGAGAGGGUGACCGGCCGCACUGGGACUGAGACACGGCCCAGACUCCUACGGGAGGCAGCAGUGGGGAAUAUUGCACAAUGGGCGGAAGCCUGAUGCAGCGACGCCGCGUGAGGGAUGACGGCCUUCGGGUUGUAAACCUCUUUCAGCACGGAAGAAGCGAAAGUGACGGUACGUGCAGAAGAAGCGCCGGCUAACUACGUG